AUUGAGCGCUGGCGGCAUGCCUUACACAUGCAAGUCGAACGGUAACAGGUCUUCGGAUGCUGACGAGUGGCGAACGGGUGAGUAAUGCAUCGGAACGUGCCCAGUAGUGGGGGAUAGCCCGGCGAAAGCCGGAUUAAUACCGCAUACGACCUGAGGGUGAAAGGGGGGGAUCGCAAGACCUCUCGCUAUUGGAGCGGCCGAUGGCAGAUUAGCUAGUUGGUGGGGUAAAGGCCUACCAAGGCAACGAUCUGUAGUUGGUCUGAGAGGACGACCAGCCACACUGGGACUGAGACACGGCCCAGACGCCUACGGGGGGCAGCAGUGGGGAAUGUUGGACAAUGGGCGCAAGCCUGAUCCAGCAAUGCCGCGUGCAGGAAGAAGGCCUUCGGGUUGUAAACUGCUUUUGUCAGGGAGGAAAUCUUCUGGGUUAAUACCUCGGGAGGAUGACGGUACCUGAAGAAUAAGCACCGGCUAACUACGUGCCAGCAGCCGCCGCGGUAA
rnacentral:rRNA from 1 species